rnacentral:rRNA from 1 species
UACGGGAGCAGCAGUGGGGAAUAUUGCACAAUGGGCGCAAGCCUGAUGCAGCCAUGCCGCGUGUAUGAAGAAGGCCUUCGGGUUGUAAAGUACUUUCAGUCGUGAGGAAGGUGUUAAGGUUAAUAACCUUAGCAAUUGACGUUAGCGACAGAAGAAGCACCGGCUAACUCCGUGCCAGCAGCCGCGGUAAUACGGAGGGUGCGAGCGUUAAUCGGAAUUACUGGGCGUAAAGGGCACGCAGGCGGUUAAUUAAGUUGGAUGUGAAAUCCCCGGGCUUAACCUGGGAAUGGCAUUCAAGACUGGUUAGCUAGAGUCUUGUAGAGGGGGUAGAAUUCCAUGUGUAGCGGUGAAAUGCGUAGAGAUGUGGAGGAAUACCGGUGGCGAAGGCGGCCCCUGGACAAAGACUGACGCUCAUGUGCGAAAGCGUGGGGAGCAAACAGGAUUAGAUACC